CCUGGCCGCAAGGGGGGUGGUGCUUGGGAGGUUAGAGGGAGACAACUAGAGUGAACGGCAGAAUGGAGCGCGGAAUAGUGUCUGGCUGUGCACGUGGAGGUGGCGAAAUGUGGAAGCUUAACGAAGUUGGCGCCAUGAAGCUAAAGACUGCUACCCCGGGGCUCUAGCUCGCUCCGCCUAAUGGCGGGCCGCACCCCGCCGGCGAAGCCCACGUUUGUAGGUCCGCCCUCACGCUGAUCUCUUCCCCAAUCAAUGAGUUCGGCUUCGCGAGGUUGGUGCCCAUUGGCUUUCGCAUAAAAGCUCCGAGGUUACAGACGUUUCCACCUCUUGCCGGCCUCUCAGGUAAUUGGCGUCCGUGGUAACCAAUCAGGAAGAGGAUCUGCGGGACCGCCGGCCUUUUACUUUAUUGAGUGGCCAAUCCGGUUGUAGGCUCACCUCCCCCCUCUAUCCAGAGCCACUGCUGCGGCCGCCGCCAUUUUAGCGUUUUGUCAGAAGCGUCCGUGCCGCGAGGAGGAGGCCCUGCUGGUUUCCGUGCGGGCUCUUGUCAGGAUGGUGAAGCUGUUCAUCGGAAACCUGCCCCGGGAGGCUACAGAGCAGGAGAUUCGCUCACUCUUCGAGCAGUAUGGGAAGGUGCUGGAAUGUGACAUCAUUAAGAAUUACGGCUUUGUGCACAUAGAAGAUAAAACUGCAGCUGAAGAUGCCAUACGCAACCUGCACCAUUACAAGCUUCAUGGGGUGAACAUCAACGUGGAAGCCAGCAAGAAUAAGAGCAAAACCUCAACAAAGUUGCAUGUGGGCAACAUCAGUCCCACUUGCACCAAUAAGGAGCUUCGAGCCAAGUUUGAGGAGUAUGGUCCGGUCAUCGAAUGUGACAUCGUGAAAGAUUAUGCCUUUGUACACAUGGAGCGGGCAGAGGAUGCAGUGGAGGCCAUCAGGGGCCUUGAUAACACAGAGUUUCAAGGUGCGGUCUUGCUCUGUUGCCUAGGCUGGAAUACAGUAGUAUAAGCAUGGCUCAAUGCAGCCUCGACCUUCUGAGCUGAAGCAGUCCUUCCAUCUCAACCUCCCAAGAAGCUGGAACUACACAGGCAAGAUAACCCCUGUGACAGAAGGCUACUGUUGCUGCAACAAAGGGCAUACAUACAUUUUCAAGAACUGCAAUUUAAUUUUGGGGUCCAGGAAAAGCAGAAGAUGCUGAGAUGUCAUAUAUGGCGAACUGCACUAUUCUAAAUGUGUUUUGUUUUAAUCUUUCACAGUAAACAAGCUUUCAGAAAUGGUCACGAGGGGUAGGAUAUCAAGGAGCAGCCAGUCAUUCACCCAAUUCCAACACACCUACAUGUCACACUGUCACAGAGUUAGAGCCACAGUUCCAGUAGUUCCCCUAAUUGACCAAAUCUCCCUUGCCAAAUCAAAAGAAGAAAUCACUCCUAAAAUUCUCUAAUCCUUCUAUUGAUGAUGGGAACUCCAGACACCAAUGGCUGGGGGAAAAAAAAAGUUAACUCACACCAAGUUCCUCUACUUAUUACAGACAAAGGGCCAAAUCUUGGUCUUGAUCUGUGCCAAUCGACUUCAAAAGUUGUGACGUUCUUGGAUCAGUUCUGCUAGGGUGAGACCCGAAUUUGGAUCCCCAACAGUUCUGGAGUAUUUCAUCCUGGCAGCCUCAUUAACAUCAGGCUCCUGGGACUGCAACCAACUCAGGGUUAUUCAGUCCAUUUGAGGUUCACACCUGGAAGGUAAGUUUCUUUAAAAGUCAUCACUAAAAAGAGGUUAGUUGAACAACCACUGCUUGCAGUCAAAAUUCAUUUUAAAAUGUCCUAGCAAUACCUUUUGAAGACUACAAUAUAUGAAUUUAACAUUUAACUUUGAAACAUAAGAGAAACAGGUUAUCUGAUAGAUUUAUACCAGCUUACUUCAGAAGCAUAUCCCAUCUCAUGCUAGAUCCAGCUGCAUUAAAAGUAAAAAUUAAUGGCAAACUACAAAUUUUAAGAUCAUUUGCUUCACACGUAAACACAGACUGGGCUGCACGGUGGUCUCAAGAGAUUUCAAGACUUGUUUACAUGCAUAUAGGAAUACAACUUACUACAGGUUCGUAACAUUUGCUUCUCAAUUCACAUAAAAAAGCAAAUUCCUAUGGCUUUGCUUUUUAUUUUUUUUUUUAAGAGAGAGAGGAGCCAUUCUGUUGUCCAGGCUGGAAUGCAGUGGCUAACUGCAGUCCCUCACUCCUGGGCUCAAGGGAUCCUCCAGCCUCACCCUCCUGAAUAGUUGGGACUACAGGUGCGAGCCACUGUACACAGCUGCUUUGUUAUCUUCUACAUAAAUACCAAAGGGAUAAGUUAGGAACACCAGAAACUCAGUAGUAACUCACUUUAACCAUGCUUCUGGGGCUCCAAGUGAUGCUCAUUUUCAAGGUACAAGAAAAACCAUGAGAAUGUAAAGUUGUCAUAAUGCUAUUUCCACUCAAAUGAAAAGAUUUAUCUAUCUUUAGAUACUCAAAAUUAUUCCUGGCAUUUUAGCACUUUUGGUGCACAUUUCCUGAUGUAGGAAAUAGUAAAAUUUCAGAGCCUAUGGCAUUGGCUUUCACCACCUAUGCAAUUUUCUACACAUCUGAAAAUUACCAGUUUAUCUAACUUACCUAACUCCUGAAAUGUUCCUCUCUUCAACAACAAAAAACACAAAAAUUGCUGGAAGAAAUGGGAAGCAUCCAGCUCUAAAUGACAGCAUAACAGGCUAUGAAGAAAUAGGGCUUAAGUGCCCAUAUAGAACAAGAUGCUAGUCUAGAUUACUAAUAAGGACUCUAUGGGGCAGAAGAUCAAAACAUUCAACUUUCAAGUAAAUGUCUUAGAAGCGAACCUUUGAAAUUUAUAGGACUUCCUCUGGCAUGCAGGUAUGAUAUUCGAAGAGUUUCCUUUGACAAAGGGUAAUGACCCAAGAAGUAGUUUGUUUUUUUGCUUUUUUUUUUUAAAAAAAAGGAGAGACAGGGUCUUACUCUGUUGCCCAGGCUGGAAUACAGGGGUGUGAUCAUAGCUCACUGUGGCCUCUUUCAACUCCUGGGCUCAAUUGAUCCUUCCAACCUCAGCAUUCUGAGUAGCUGGGAUCACAGGUGCUCCCCAUUACACCCUGCUAAUUUAAUUUUCUUUGUAGAGACAGGGUCUUGCUAUGUUACCUAGGCUGGUCUUGAACUCCUGGGCUCAAGUGAUCCUCCCACCUCAGCCUCCCAGUGUUAGGCGUGAGCCACUGCCUCUGCCCUCAAGUAGCAAUUUUAUUAGCAAACUGUAAGCCUAAAGUAAUAGUUAAAAUUCUCACUGUGAUAUUAAUUACUAAGCCCUGAACCUGUGCCUUUCAGCUUUACCAUGGCAGUACUUCUGUAGUAGAGCAAGCAUGGGUUUUGGAAUCAGGCCCGUGUGUGAAUUCUGACUCUAUCUUCCAUUUACCAAAUGACUUUGGGCAAAGUACUUAACCUCUCCGAGGUUCCCUUCUCUGUAAAAGAAUAAAAUAUUUCAGUUUUAUCAUAUAGAUGAUAUAUAAGAGAGCACGUAACAAAUGUUAGAUCUCUCAAAUGUUUUUCUGUAACCCAAAUAUACUUACAACUGAUUAAAGAAUGUUCUAUCAAA